UACAGAGGUCUCAAGCGUUGUUCGGAUUCAUUGGGCGUAAAGGGUGCGUAGGUGGCGCGAUAAGUCGGGUGUGAAAUCUCGGAGCUUAACUCCGAAAUUGCAUUCGAUACUGCCGUGCUCGAGGACUGGAGAGGAGACUGGAAUUCAUGGUGUAGCAGUGAAAUGCGUAGAGAUCAUGAGGAAGACCAGUGGCGAAGGCGGGUCUCUGGACAGUUCCUGACGCUGAGGCACGAAGGUCAGGGGAGCAAACGGG
rnacentral:rRNA from 1 species